UCUCGAUUAGUAUAGUGGUCAGUAUGCCAGCUUGUCAUUCAAUUACAAUUGAACUCGCUGGAGACCGGGGUUCAAUUCCCCGAUCGAGAG
rnacentral:tRNA from 1 species